AUGUCCCACGCGUCCACUGCGGUCCUUCCGCGCCGUCCGCACCCAACUGACGACAGCGCGCGACGUUCUGUUAGCC
rfam:Xanthomonas oryzae pv. oryzae KACC10331, complete genome.